rnacentral:rRNA from 1 species
AUUGAACGCUGGCGGCAUGCUUUACACAUGCAAGUCGAACGGCAGCGCGGGCUUCGGCCUGGCGGCGAGUGGCGAACGGGUGAGUAAUGCAUCGGAACGUGCCCAGUAGUGGGGGAUAGCCCGGCGAAAGCCGGAUUAAUACCGCAUACGACCUGAGGGUGAAAGCGGGGGACCGAAAGGCCUCGCGCUAUUGGAGCGGCCGAUGUCGGAUUAGCUAGUUGGUGGGGUAAAGGCUUACCAAGGCGACGAUCCGUAGCUGGUCUGAGAGGACGACCAGCCACACUGGGACUGAGACACGGCCCAGACUCCUACGGGAGGCAGCAGUGGGGAAUUUUGGGCAAUGGGGGCAACCCUGAUCCAGCCAUGCCGCGUGCGAGAAGAAGGCCUUCGGGUUGUAAACCGCUUUUGUUCGGGAAGAAAUCCUCUGGGCUAAUACCCCGGGGGGAUGACGGUACCGGAAGAAUAAGCACCGGCUAACUACGUG